rnacentral:rRNA from 1 species
AGGAUCAUUAUCGAAUUUCGAGGGGGAAGAUGGAGGGGGAGAGACUGUCGCUGGCUUCCACUGGGAAGCAUGUGCACGUCUUCCUUUUUGUCGACCUUUCUCUUACUCUCACACCUGUGCACACAUUGUAGGUCCUCGAAAGAGGAUCUAUGUAUUUAUCAUCACACACAUCGUAUGUCUAGAAUGUAUCAUGAUCGUCGACCGGCGGUCAAACAAAUAAAUACAACUUUCAGCAACGGAUCUCUUGGCUCUCGCAUCGAUGAAGAACGCAGCGAAUUGCGAUAAGUAAUGUGAAUUGCAGAUUUUCAGUGAAUCAUCGAAUCUUUGAACGCACCUUGCGCUCCUUGGUAUUCCGAGGAGCAUGCCUGUUUGAGUGUCAUUGAAUUCUCAACCAUGUCUUGAUUGAUUUCGGGGCAUGGCUUGGACUUGGGGGUUGCUGGCGGCGAAAGCUGUCGGCUCUCCUGAAAUGCAUUAGCAAUGGACAGCAAGUCUGAUGUGCACGGCCUUGACGUGAUAAUGAUCGUCGUCGCUGGAGCAUUGGACGAGCAUGAAUGAGUCUGUUUGCUUCCAAUCCUUGACUUGGGACUUUUUCUUUCGAGCGAAGCUU